UACGAAGGGUGCAAGCGUUGCUCGGAAUUAUUGGGCGUAAAGGGUUGGUAGGCGGUUAUGUAUGUCUGGGGUGAAAUCUCUGAGCUUAACUCAGGAAGUGCCUUGGAAACGGCGUAACUAGAGUGCUAGAGAGGUUCGUGGAAUUCCCAGUGUAGCGGUGAAAUGCGUAGAGAUUGGGAGGAACACCAGAGGCGAAGGCAGCGAACUGGAUAGCAACUGACGCUGAACAACGAAAGCGUGGGUAGCAAACAGG
rnacentral:rRNA from 1 species